rnacentral:rRNA from 1 species
GACGAACGCUGGCGGCGUGCUUAACACAUGCAAGUCGAACGGAAAGGCCCUGCUUUUGUGGGGUGCUCGAGUGGCGAACGGGUGAGUAACACGUGAGUAACCUGCCCUUGACUUUGGGAUAACUUCAGGAAACUGGGGCUAAUACCGGAUAGGAGCUCCUGCUGCAUGGUGGGGGUUGGAAAGUUUCGGCGGUUGGGGAUGGACUCGCGGCUUAUCAGCUUGUUGGUGGGGUAGUGGCUUACCAAGGCUUUGACGGGUAGCCGGCCUGAGAGGGUGACCGGCCACAUUGGGACUGAGAUACGGCCCAGACUCCUACGGGAGGCAGCAGUGGGGAAUAUUGCACAAUGGGCGGAAGCCUGAUGCAGCAACGCCGCGUGCGGGAUGACGGCCUUCGGGUUGUAAACCGCUUUCGCCUGUGACGAAGCGUGAGUGACGGUAAUGGGUAAAGAAGCACCGGCUAACUACGUGCCAGCAGCCGCGGUGAUACGUAGGGUGCGAGCGUUGUCCGGAUUUAUUGGGCGUAAAGGGCUCGUAGGUGGUUGAUCGCGUCGGAAGUGUAAUCUUGGGGCUUAACCCUGAGCGUGCUUUCGAUACGGGUUGACUUGAGGAAGGUAGGGGAGAAUGGAAUUCCUGGUGGAGCGGUGGAAUGCGCAGAUAUCAGGAGGAACACCAGUGGCGAAGGCGGUUCUCUGGGCCUUUCCUGACGCUGAGGAGCGAAAGCGUGGGGAGCGAACAGGCUUAGAUACCCUGGUAGUCCACGCUGUAAACGGUGGGUACUAGGUGUGGGGUCCAUUCCACGGGUUCCGUGCCGUAGCUAACGCUUUAAGUACCCCGCCUGGGGAGUACGGCCGCAAGGCUAAAACUCAAAGGAAUUGACGGGGCCCCGCACAAGCGGCGGAGCAUGCGGAUUAAUUCGAUGCAACGCGUAGAACCUUACCUGGGUUUGACAUGGAUCGGGAGUGCUCAGAGAUGGGUGUGCCUCUUUUGGGGUCGGUUCACAGGUGGUGCAUGGCUGUCGUCAGCUCGUGUCGUGAGAUGUUGGGUUAAGUCCCGCAACGAGCGCAACCCUUGUUCACUGUUGCCAGCACGUUAUGGUGGGGACUCAGUGGAGACCGCCGGGGUCAACUCGGAGGAAGGUGGGGAUGACGUCAAGUCAUCAUGCCCCUUAUGUCCAGGGCUUCACGCAUGCUACAAUGGCUGGUACAGAGAGUGGCGAGCCUGUGAGGGUGAGCGAAUCUCGGAAAGCCGGUCUCAGUUCGGAUUGGGGUCUGCAACUCGACCUCAUGAAGUCGGAGUCGCUAGCAAUCGCAGAUCAGCAACGCUGCGGUGAAUACGUUCCCGGG